CGGAGGAAAAGAAACUAACAAGGAUUCCCCUAGUAACGGCGAGUGAAGCGGGAAGAGCUCAAAUUUGUAAUCUGGCCCUUUCAGGGUCCGAGUUGUAAUCUCGAGAAGUGUUUUCCGCGCCGGACCGCAUACAAGUCUGUUGGAAUACAGCGUCAUAGUGGUGAGAGCCCCGUAAUUGAUGUGGAUGCCCGGUGCUUUGUGAUACACUUUCGAAGAGUCGAGUUGUUUGGGAAUGCAGCUCAAAUUGGGUGGUAAAUUCCAUCUAAAGCUAAAUAUUGGCGAGAGACCGAUAGCGAACAAGUACCGUGAGGGAAAGAUGAAAAGCACUUUGGAAAGAGAGUUAACAGUACGUGAAAUUGUUGGAAGGGAAACGCUUGAAGUCAGACUUGCUAUUCGGAAUUCAGCCGCAAGGUGUACUUUUCGAUUUGCAGGCCAGCAUCAGUUUUUGGGGGUGGAAAAGGGUGGAGAGAAGGUAGCAACCUUGGUUGUGUUAUAGCUCUUUACUGGAUUCAUCUUUGGGGACUGAGGAUCGCAGUGCGCAAUUUACUUUGCAAACCUUUCGAGGUUUUCGUACUUAGGAUGCUGGUGGAAUGGCUUUAAACGACCCGUCUUGAA
rnacentral:rRNA from 1 species